GAUGAAGAACGUAGCGAAAUGCGAUAAGUAAUGUGAAUUGCAGAAUUCAGUGGAUCAUCGAAUCUUUGAACGCACAUUGCGCCCGCUAGUAUUCUGGCGGGCAUGCCUGUCCGAGCGUCAUUUCAACCCUCAAGCCCCCGGGCUUGGUGUUGGGGAUCGGCGAGCCUCCGCGCCCGCCGUCCCCUAAAUCUAGUGGCGGUCUCGCUGUAGCUUCCUCUGCGUAGUAGCACACCUCGCACUGGGAAACAGCGCGGCCACGCCGUUAAACCCCCAACUUCUGAACGUUUGACCUCGGAUCAGGUAGGAAUACCCGCUGAACUUAAGCAUAUCAAUAAGCGGAGGA
rnacentral:misc_RNA from 1 species